rnacentral:rRNA from 1 species
GUUAGUGGCGGACGGGUGAGUAACACGUGGGAACGUGCCUUUAGGUUCGGAAUAACUCAGGGAAACUUGUGCUAAUACCGAAUGUGCCCUUCGGGGGAAAGAUUUAUCGCCUUUAGAGCGGCCCGCGUCUGAUUAGCUAGUUGGUGAGGUAAAGGCUCACCAAGGCGACGAUCAGUAGCUGGUCUGAGAGGAUGAUCAGCCACAUUGGGACUGAGACACGGCCCAAACUCCUACGGGAGGCAGCAGUGGGGAAUCUUGCGCAAUGGGCGAAAGCCUGACGCAGCCAUGCCGCGUGAAUGAUGAAGGUCUUAGGAUUGUAAAAUUCUUUCACCGGGGACGAUAAUGACGGUACCCGGAGAAGAAGCCCCGGCUAACUUCGUGCCAGCAGCCGCGGUAAUACGAAGGGGGCUAGCGUUGCUCGGAAUUACUGGGCGUAAAGGGAGCGUAGGCGG